UGGGGAAUAUUGCACAAUGGAGGGAACUCUGAUGCAGCGACGCCGCGUGAACGAAGAAGGCUUUCGAGUCGUAAAGUUCUUUUAUAUGGGAAGAUAAUGACGGUACCAUAAGAAAAAGCCCCGGCUAACUACGUGCCAGCAGCCGCGGUAAUACGUAGGGGGCUAGCGUUGUCCGGAAUCACUGGGCGUAAAGGGUUCGCAGGCGGAAAUGCAAGUCAGGUGUAAAAGGCAGUAGCUUAACUACUGUAAGCAUUUGAAACUGCAUAUCUUGAGAAGAGUAGAGGUAAGUGGAAUUUUUAGUGUAGCGGUGAAAUGCGUAGAUAUUAAAAAGAAUACCGGUGGCGGAGGCGACUUACUGGGCUCAUUCUGACGCUGAGGAACGAAAGCGUGGGUAGCAAACAGG
rnacentral:rRNA from 1 species